GACGAACGCUGGCGGCGUGCUUAAUACAUGCAAGUCGAGCGAGGUUAUUUUUUCAAAGUCCUUCGGGGUGGCGAAAUUUUAACCUAGCGGCGGACGGGUGAGUAACGCGUGGGCAACCUGCCCUAAAGCCCGGGAUAACAGUGGGAAACUACUGCUAACACCGGAUGGUCUCAUUUUGUGGCAUCAUAAGAUGAGUAAAGGUUACGCUUUAGGAUGGGCCCGCGUCCCAUUAGCUAGUUGGUGAGGUAACUGCUCACCAAGGCGACGAUGGGUAGCCGGCCUGAGAGGGUGGACGGCCACACUGGGACUGAGACACGGCCCAGACUCCUACGGGAGGCAGCAGUAGGGAAUAUUGCGCAAUGGAGGGAACUCUGACGCAGCGACGCCGCGUGAGCGAUGAAGGUCUUCGGAUCGUAAAGCUCUGUCCUCAGGGAAGAAGGUUAUUAACUUGACGGUACCUGAGGAGGAAGCCCCGGCUAACUACGUG
rnacentral:rRNA from 1 species